AGAGUUUGAUYCUGGCUCAGAUUGAACGCUGGCGGCAUGCCUUACACAUGCAAGUCGAACGGCAGCACGGGGGCAACCCUGGUGGCGAGUGGCGAACGGGUGAGUAAUACAUCGGAAUGUACCCAGUAGUGGGGGAUAACUAGUCGAAAGAUUAGCUAAUACCGCAUACGCACUAUGGUGGAAAGCGGGGGAUCGCAAGACCUCGCGCUAUUGGAGCAGCCGAUGUCCGAUUAGGUAGUUGGUGGGGUAAAGGCCUACCAAGGCGACGAUCGGUAGCUGGUCUGAGAGGAUGAUCAGCCACACUGGGACUGAGACACGGCCCAGACUCCUACGGGAGGCAGCAGUGGGGAAUAUUGGACAAUGGGCGCAAGCCUGAUCCAGCAAUGCCGCGUGGGUGAAGAAGGCCUGCGGGUUGUAAAGCCCUUUAAGUGGGGAGGAACGGCGGGGUGCGAACAGUGUCCUGCUCUGACGUUACCCACAGAAUAAGCACCGGCUAACUCCGUGCCAGCAGCCGCGGUAAUACGGGGGGUGCAAGCGUUAAUCGGAAUUACUGGGCGUAAAGCGUGCGUAGGCGGUUUGGUCAGUCAGCCGUGAAAG
rnacentral:rRNA from 1 species